rnacentral:tRNA from 1 species
UCCGCGGUAGCUCAGUUGGUUAGAGCAGGGAACUCAUAAUUCCUUGGCCACAGGUUCGAGCCCUGUCCGCGGAACCA